rnacentral:lncRNA from 1 species
GUAUAUUUUACGGUAUAUUUUGAAAAUGAUAAAGUAUGUUUCGGAAUAUUUUCGAGGCCAUCACGGUAUAUUGUAUCGAUAAUUCCGCGGUCACACUGCAUUCUAGGCUGUCGUAAUUUUUGGAAUACACCCAGUUUUAAGACAAUCGAUUUAAUUUAAUAGUGUGUAAAUGGAAUACAAUUGUUUCAGAAGUGGUUUUAAAUGUAUUUUAACAUGUUCGAAAAUUCAAUGGAUAAAGUAGAUUUCAGAUGUACAUAUGAAUACAUACAUACAUAUGUAUCACAGGUGGUCUAACAUGUAAAACUUCAGCAUAUUUUGUGUUAUAUAUAUAAAAAGGUAAAAUAACCCACAACAAUUUGAUGACUAUCAUUCAACCUACAUCCAUACAUAUAUAUGUAUGUAAAAAAUAUAAGCAUUUAAGUUAUUUUAGUUAUUAAGAAACAAUUUCCGAACAUUGACAGCAAAUAAUUCAACUGUUACUCUAUAAAAAACAGUUUGGAUGUGGAUACUUCAGGACAUACAUACAUAUGUAUGUGUUCAACGUCUUUACAUACUUUGUAGUUAAAUAAUUUGGAAGUAGAAGUAGUUAUUUAAAUAGAUACCUAUGGUAUAAAGUCCACAGUCAACUAAAAAUUAUCUUAUACAAAAUAAAGAUACACUAACAGAUUUGAGCAAUACCACAAAUGCCUACAUGCAUAUGCAUCUACAUAUAUGUAAAUAUGUACAUAAAUAUGCAUGACUGCAUUUACACAUCGGUAUUCACAAAUUUAAGGACUCUAGUUUGCCCGAAAGUUUCUAUGAAAAUAGCUGUUACGUAACUACUGACUGCACACGGAUCUUUAAUAAAUAUUUUGAAAUUUUUUAAGUGUUGAUUUAUGAAAUUGAUUUGUUGUUAGAAACUCUGCUUACAAACAACUUACCAAAUUGCACCAUAUAUAUAUAUACUUUAUUGGUAUUUGUAAAUUAAUUGGCCUAUUCCAAGCAGGAAAGGUCCCUGUAUGCGCUGUUAACACUUAAACAGGGGUAAAAAUAAAUCCACACAAGAAGCGACGAUAAGAAUAUAAAUGUUUGCCACAUGUUAAUAAAACCCAGCAAACAAUUUGGUAGUACUCUCGCGUAUCUCCGAGAAGAGUCUUUUGGAAGUCGCUAGAUGAAUCUUUCACCGAUUCCCGGUGAUAGUUGAGCGAUAACAAGAUAAUGAAAGUAGGACAUGGUCCUAAUUGCGUUAGUUUCGUAAUUUAUAUAUCUACAUUUUUAUGUAUUAAGAAGCCCUCUUUUGGUAAACCUAAAUAAAUUUCAAAUUAAAAAAAAUGUUUUUGUAUUUAGGAGACUUUUCUGGGCGACGUUUUGUGAUGCUUUCAGGAGACUCUUCUACAUAUCUCAAACAUAUGAGUGACUCUUUGGCGACACUUUCGAAAGACUCCUCGGCGACUCUUCUGGAAGUGUCGCGGAAUUGGCUCACUUUCGCCCAACAGAAGAUCAGAAAAAGAGAAGAAAGCGAUAUCGCUGGCGAUCAAUUUAAUCUCCUUGGCGAGUCGCCUGAGACUCUUCCGCGAUAGAAAUGGUUUCCUUAAGGAAAGCCUAUCUGGUUUGAAUUAAAGUACUGGGCUUUGCGCUAUUCCACUUGUGGAUAUUAUAGCUUUAAAAAAAGAGAGCGUAGUUUGUUGGUUUAUACAUAUGAAUGUUCGACGACAAGAAUGAAUUGUUGAUUGAUUGUCUGUUGGAACGAUAGCUCCUUGAAUCUAAUUUAUCGAAUCAUCAAGGGAUCGAGCCUAUGAGCUGUAAAAAUCGAUGAGAUAGGAAGGCAGAAAAAUAAAGAAUAUACCAAUGCCACAGAUUCUACACGCCUACAAUAAGAUAAUGGGUGGUGUCGAUUUUUUUGGCAAUGCCUCAAAAAACUGUCGUGUUAGAGUGGGAAGCAAAAAGUAGCCGUUAUGCUUAACUGAUGGAAUUUCGACUGUGUUUUGAACUGAACGGGCAGAGAAUCGGAGAACUCCAAAAAUAUGCUGAUGCCACAACUACCUUCCCAUACAAUUGUGUCAAUAUACUUGUUGCGACAUGCAAGUCCGGCGAUAUCGAGGAUUUCACAUUCACCUAACAACAAUUUAAAAGAGAAGGGACAUGUCACAACUUUUAUACCCGGCACUCAGUACUACAUCUGCACCUUAGCGGUGUAGUCAUCUACAUCUACAACACUUGUCACACCCACACACUGCAGACUCGCGGCACAAAAAAAAACAAAUAUAAGCUGCGGGACGGGGUGGGUGGGUGGUGUGGGACGGACAGACAGACUUGGCUCAAUCGACUCGGCUAUUGAUGCUGAUCAAGAAUAUAUAUCCUAUAUGGGGUCGGAAACGUUUCCGUCUGUGUGUUACAUACAACCGUUAUUCGCACAAAUACAAUAUACCCUAUUUACUCUUCGAGUACCGGGUAUAAAAAAGCACUCAAUGAUAUAAGAGCAAACAGAACAUAUCAUGGCAUUCUAAAAACUGAAAAAUCAUUUCAUUGUCGCGUUUUUUAGGAGCAUGCUGUAAAUGCUUCAAAUACGAUGUUUCUGUGACUCUUAUAGACACUUUUAUAGACACAGGUUUCACUCGGUAACAGGGGGUAGCAGGAGUCACGGGUACAAAACUACGAAACUGGUUACUCACUGUGUAGAUACACGUUAUAUAUAUAAGUAACUUCUACAAUAUACGUAUGUAACUCUUAAGAACAUGUGUAUAUUAAACCGAAGGCCUCAUCUAUGUCUAUAACUAUUAUUAUUUCCUUUUCUAUGUAUUUAUUGAGGUCAUAGAAGACAUCGAAUCCAUUUAGACAUGGCAAAUACGAAGAGUUAAAGGGUAUAUUGCAUUUGUAGUCGGAGGAAAGUGCGUAACGCACUGUAACGUAUAUGUAUGUACAUACAUAUUGAUCAGUAUCAAUAGCCGAGUGGAUAUAGCCUUCUCUGUCCGUCCAUCCGCCCGUCUGUCUGUCCCUCUUGUUUGACGCAUAGAGACUACAAGAGCGAGUGUAAUCAAAUUUUGUGUUAAGGCUCAUGUGAUGUCACAUUGAAUCAAAAUUGCUUCUUAAUUUCGGCGCAGCCAUUUCAGCAGCUUUGCUUGGUCUUGCUCAUUCUCUCUCGCACGCACACUUUACUCGGAGAAGCUACACGGGCGUGACGUACGGACGUAUGGGUACGGACAAGGUUAACUACCCAGCCCUGGGGCGAGAUCUAGGGGCAACGUCGGCCCCGCUGACACCAAGCCAACUUGUAACACCCCUAUCGUCCAAUCAUCCAAGAAUUUGACGCACAUAAAAGCAUACGGUUUCAGAAAAAUAAAAGAUAAAAUAAAUAUGUUACUCACAUGUUACCCGGAUCUCACAGAAUUUAGGGAUAUUUUAUUUUUUGGGAUCCAAUUUGAUCCAUAUGCAUACAUACAGAAGGAAAAAUUGCCGACCAAAUUUAUUGCCAUGUUCUUUGCACCUGACCAACCUAACUUUCCCUGGCAAAAGAUAUUUCAAUGUACAUAGAUGACAGAUGUAGCGAAAAAAUUGAAACAAAAUGUUCUUAAAUCUGACUGACACGUUUUUAAUUAAUUCUAAGUUUACAAUAUUUUUUUUUACAGAUAUUACUUAUGAGGAAGAACAGCCUAUAGCUACCAAAAAUAUUUUAAAAACAUACGUUCUAAGAUUCAAAUUGUAAGGAAAUUUUAGAGCUUACAAUCGAAAUCAUAAGAAUAUUUAUUAUGAAGCCUACAUCAGGCGAAACGUUAAGAGCUUGGAUUUUUUCGGCUCUAAUGGUACAUGGAGCUGUUGCAGGCAAUCCAGAUGCAAAACGGCUUUAUGACGAUCUCUUGAGCAACUACAACAAAUUGGUCCGGCCUGUUGUUAACACCACAGAUGUUCUUAAAGUGUGCAUUAAAUUAAAACUUUCACAGCUUAUUGAUGUGGUGAGUACAAAGUAGCGUACACAUGAAGCUCUUGGUAUAUUUCGUUGCAUUCUACUAAAACUUAAAACAGAAAGGCUCUCUUGAGCUUUAUGCAUUUAGGCCGGCUUCUUCAUCUUUCAUCUACAUCAACAACAAUUCUCACGCCAACACGCUUCUUUAGCUCGCCACCCUCCCCUAGAGCCACACACUGCAGAGUCAAGGCAGAGACGCGGCGGGGUGGGUUUAGCCAUUGCAAAUUAAUUUCUUCAUUGUGGCCAUAACAAUGAUCCAAUCGGAUCCCAAUUGGUGAUCUGUUAGAUAUGGCCGACAAACAAGACGGACAGACAGACAUGGCUCUAUCGACUCGGCUAUUGAUGCUGAUCAAGAAUACAUAUACUUCAUUUUCCUUCUGUGCGUUACAUACAACCGUUAUUCCCCAGAAAUAGAAUAUACCCUAUUUACUCUUAGAGUACCGGGUAUAAAAAGCACACAGCCUCUUCGCAUGUUAGCCUUACGGAAUUUCUGACUGGAAGACUUAUUGGUGAAUCCAGACUGCUGCGGUAUCACAUUGAUAAAAGUGUAUAUUAAAAUUUCGCCCCGUCCCUUUUCGUCUCCAGAAAGGUGAAAAUCUGAUAUGGAGAUAUGGAGAAAAAUGUAGCCAUAAACUAUUUAAAAUUCGAUAAAAAUCAUAAUCAUACAUAUGUUAAUGUAUGUAUAUAUGUAUGUAUGUUUAUGAGUACCGGCUAUACAAGUAGAGGCGCGACGUUAUGCGGCCCCACAGCGCUUCGCCUAGUUUUGUAUAAUACUAUACAAAAUACAAGUGCAAUAUUAAAAGAGUUUUUCUUUACAAACAAUAUCAAGAAAAUCUAAUUAGGUGUCUGGGCGGCUGUACCUGAGUUCGAUUCGGUAAUAUUCUUACGACUCUUUUUAUACCCGGUACUCGAAGAGUAAAUAGGGUAUAUUGUAUUUGUGCGAAUAACAGUUGUAUGUAACGCACAGAAGGAAACGUUUCCGACCUCAUAAAGUAUAUAUAUUCUUGAGCAGCAUCAAUAGCCGCGUCGAUUGAGCCAUGUCUGUCUAUCCGUCCGUCUGUCCGAACAUCUUGUUGAGAGCCUCCCAAUCCCAAUUGGAUCAUUAUUAUGGCCACAAUGAAGAAAUUAAUUUUCAGUGGCUAAGCUCACCCCUUCCCGCAACUUUUAUUUGUUUUUUGCACAUUCUCUCAUUCACACUCUACUUCGCACAGUGUGCGGCCUCUGCCUCUGCAGUGUGUGAUUCUAGGGGAGGGGGCGAGCUAAAGGAGCGUGUUGGCGUGAGAAGUGAUGUAGAUGUAGAUGUGGAUGAAGAUGUAGAAAAAAGAUGUAAAAUGCAAAAUUUUAAAUUUGAAAUAAAACUGUUAAGGUACAGAUGUUCUACUGACUACCGGAUAUAAAAGUUGUGACGCUUAAAAAAGCGCCUCACACGUCCCUUCUCGUUUUUUCCAUCAUCGUUACAAUUUAUCUUACACCGUACAAUUUAUUUACGGCGGCGAAGCUGGUCGAAUUAACCAAGAGCUUUAUGGCGCUCCCGCAUCGCCCCAAUCUACUUUACUCUACAAUUUCAAACAAUAACAUAAAUAAAAAAACUUUUGGCAUAAAGCUACAACAAGCAAACGCACUUGAGCAAACAAAUAAAAACACCGAAUUUAAUCAUACAUUUCUUAAAUGUUUGUGUUGAUUAACGAAUUUUUUCAUUUUUACUUUAUAGAACUUAAAAAAUCAAAUUAUGACCACCAAUCUUUGGGUGGAGCAGGUAAGAUAACUAAUAAGCUGUCCUUUAUUAUACGCGAUUAUCGAAGAGUUACGCGGUAUAUUUGAUUUGUGGUGCGUAACGCACAGAAGGAACCGUUUCAGACCCUAUAAAAUAUACAUAUCUUGAUUAACAUCAAUAGUCGACUCGAUAAAGCCGUGUAUGUCUGCUCAUCAGUCUUGUUUGAAACCGUGUUCUCAGAGCCUAUAAGAGAUAGAGUCACCGAAUUGUGCGUAAAGACUCAUAUGACAUCACACAGAAUCAAGUUUUUUUUUCCAAAUCAAAGGUCUAAAAUAUGUCAUACAGAUAUAAAAAAUCCGAAAACGCAGCUUCAUGGAAAAGGGCCAUGUCUAUUGUAUCGCCGAAUUGGAGACAGAUGGGAUUAUUAUUAUUAUGGCCAGAAUGAAGACAUUAAUUUGGAGUUUCCACCCCCCAACACCUCCAGCAGCACGGACUAUGCUUGUGUCUUCACUAUUGCUCACAAACUGUGCCUCGCUGCUAAAAGGGCGUGUUGGUGUCAAAAGAGAUUUAAGUGUACAUAGGUGUAGCCAAAAUAUAGAAUUCGAAAAAAAACACAUGCUCAGGAAUUUAUGCCAACUGAGAACAGGGUAUAAAAGUUAAGUACCCUCGCGAAAAUUUAAUUUAUGCUCUGUCUUGUCUUAUUUCAUCGCUUAUUACUUUCACUUUAACCUUUUUAAAACAUUUUAAAUUUAUAGUCAUGGUACGAUUACAAACUUCGAUGGGAGCCUAAAGAGUAUGGAGGAGUGCAUAUGUUACAUGUACCAUCUGAUCAUAUUUGGAGACCAGAUAUCGUUCUCUAUAACAAGU